GAAAAAAAAUCAUUUGCUCUUAUCGUCUCUUCGCUGCGUCUUGACCCGAUUCUUUUUCAAUGGAAGCGAGAAUCAUCCUCCAAAUUUAAAUCCCUUGGAACCCUAAUCGCAUAUUCUCUCGUACUCCUUUAGAUUUCCCGUGCUUUAUCAGAGCUUCUUCUUCUUCAUGGGGUCACCAGAAGCCGAGAAGUUACAGAGGUCUGUCGUUCUGCCGUCCGUCUAAUCUUCCUGCGUCGAUAGUCUCGGAAUUGUUAUGGUAAUGCUCUGUCGUCCGUCGUUCUUUCAACACUGUUAGCUCCGGAACAUAGACCAAUGAAGUAAUUAGAGUUCUUUGGAAUAUGUUUUAAAUGGUAGUCAAGGAUGGAAGGGAGUUCGGUUUGAUUUCAAUUUGAAGAUGUAUGAAGUCUUGGAGAAGUCAUCUUUAUACUGAAACUUGCAAGGUUUGCAGGCAAAGGCUUGCUUUUUCAUGUUGAUAAUGAUGGCUUCUAUUGCAGGAGAACGUAAUGCCAACUCUUACCAUGACUUUGCAACCUAUUACUUUCCUUAUGGUAGAACUUAUGUUAAUUUCAAACUUUGAAGACAGUAAAUGCUGGUGGGCAGCCAAAAUCUGAAUCAUAUGACUUGAAGAAAUUCCAUGUUAGAGAUAUGAUUAUUGGAAGAAUCAAACGUGUGGAGCCCUAUGGCUUAUUCAUUGACAUUGAUCAAACUGGCAUGGUAAUGAUCUAGUUUCAUGCAGCAAGGUGAAAGAGAAGACUAUAGCUGCAAGAUGGAGUCAAGUGAAAAUGUUUAUAUUCCCGGAGGCUAACCGGAAAGAUUUUGAUGAGCUGGCGGAAAACGUGAAAGAAGUGCUUGAUGGAAACAAGGGGUAUAUGAUGCUGAUCUACUAAAGAGUUCUUUAUUGCUGUUGUUGUUACAAGACUUAAAAACUCUUAUCUGUGUUGAUUGGCUAUGUUUGCAGAAAUGUUGAGGCUAUCUUUUAGACUUAAAAACUCUUAUGUGUGAUGAUUAGUUCAGGGAUUGUCAUUUUGGGUCUCACACAUAAAAACUAUAGAAAGUAAAGCAAUAGUGUAGUAUGUGUGUGCUUUGUCUAAUCAAAGACUGAUCAAUGAUAUGUCUGUUCAAUUUUACACAUUGAAGAUGGAGAAGUAGCAGCACACACCAAGAAUCGAUUGACAUGGCAACAUGGUCCUUUGUGGUACUCACUGCUUCUGCUCAACUUCACGGCCAUUAUCACUAUUCUCUUUGGUACCUUUGUGGUACUCACUGCUUCUGCUAAGUCUUCUUCCCCUUCCUCCUCCAAUGAUGAUACUGUUGACUAUAGCUAUUCUGCUAUAUAAAACACUUUCUACAUUCCACUUGCAUUUGUAUUGCCCCUUGUACUGUCAACACUCCAUUUAUAUGUGAUGCAUUUGUAGCGAAAGGCUUUGUGUUAUACGAGUUUGCUACUUCUGGUGUGUAAAAUCUUUGAUAUUAGUGAUGAAUUUUUCUUUAUUUU